rnacentral:tRNA from 1 species
GAGGGGAUAGCUCAGAAGAAAAGCGCGUGUUUAGAAUGCAUGAUGUCCUGGGUUCAAUCCUCAGUGCUUCCA